rnacentral:rRNA from 1 species
CCUACGUGAGGCUGCAGUGGGGAAUAUUGCGCAAUGGGCGAAAGCCUGACGCAGCGACGCCGCGUGAGGGAUGAAGGUCUUCGGAUCGUAAACCUCUGUCAGCAGGGAAGAACGGUCACUGUGCUAAUCAGCAGUGAAUUGACGGUACCUGCAAAGGAAGCACCGGCUAACUCCGUGCCAGCAGCCGCGGUAAUACGGAGGGUGCGAGCGUUAAUCGGAAUUACUGGGCGUAAAGCGCUCGUAGGCGGUAUGUCAAGUCAAGGGUGAAAUCCCCGCGCUCAACGUGGGAACUGCCUUUGAAACUGGCAAACUGGGUUGUGUGAGAGGAUAGUGGAAUUCCAGGGGUAGGAGUGAAAUCCGUAGAUAUCUGGAGGAACAUCAGUGGCGAAGGCGACUAUCUGGCACAUAACUGACGCUGAGGAGCGAAAGCGUGGGUAGCAAACAGGAUUAGAUACCCGAGUAGUC